rnacentral:rRNA from 1 species
AUCACGGAGAGUUUGAUCCUGGCUCAGGAUGAACGCUGGCGGUCUGCUUAACACAUGCAAGUCGAACGAAGUCUUCGGACUUAGUGGCGGACGGGUGAGUAACACGUGAGAAUCUGCCUUCAGGUCGGGGAUAACAGUUGGAAACGACUGCUAAUACCGGAUGUGCCUUCGGGUGAAAGAUUAAUCGCCAGAAGAUGAGCUCGCGUCUGAUUAGCUAGUUGGUGG